rnacentral:misc_RNA from 1 species
ACAUAUGAAGGAACAGUGGAUAUUGACAAGAUAACAGAUCCAGUUCAGCAGCGUGCUAUGCAAGAUCAGAUUGCUUACUUUGGACAAACACCAUCUCAGCUUCUUACUGUCCCACACAUGAAAAGAAUGCCUCUGGAGGAAGUUCUCCAGCUACAGACCAUAUUCCGGAAUCCUAGAGCUGCUAAACCAUAUACGGUUCCCCACCCUGAGCGCUGCAACUUACCUGCUGCAGCAAUGCAGGCUUCUUCUGAUUCCCUUGUAAUUGUUGAUACAAAUGCGCCAGCUGCUCACGUAGCUCAGCAUAAAUGGCAA